rnacentral:snoRNA from 1 species
GUGCACAUUUCACUCUCUUUUCUUCACAUCAAGAGAAAAGAUAUCUUUGGUGUGCUAAGCAAACAAACCUCUGUAGAUAAUCAACAGUGUAACCAGUUUAGCUACUGCUGCCAGCCACCUUCAG